UCCUCGACCUCUGAUGGCUUCUACAUUUCCCAAGAAAAAUAUAUUCAGGAGCUUCUUGCUCGCGCUGCUCUCGGUGAUGAGCGCACUGUUGUGACUCCUAUGGAGCUCAAUGUUCAGCUUCGUGCCUCUGACGGUGAUCCUCUUCCUAAUCCCACUCGCUAUCGUCACCUCGUCGGCAGCCUUGUCUAUCUUGCUGUUACGCGUCCUGACAUCUCCUAUCCUGUCCACAUCCUGAGUCAGUUUGUUUCCGCCCCCACUUCUGUCCACUAUAGUCACCUUCUCUGUGUUCUACGAUAUCUUCGUGGCACGAUCUCUCAGCGCCUCUUCUUUCCCCGCUCCAGCUCUCUUGAGCUCCAGACCUACUCUGAUGCUACCUGGGCUAGUGAUCCCUCUGAUCGACGCUCGCUAUCUGCUUACUGUGUCUUUCUUGGUGGCUCUCUUAUUGCCUGGAAGACAAAGAAACAGACUGCAGUUUCUCGCUCGAGUACAGAGGCUGAGUUGAGAGCCAUGGCUAUGUUGACGGCUGAGGUGAUCUGGUUACGGUGGUUACUUGAGGAUUUUGGUGUGUCUGCUACUACCUCCACU
rnacentral:rRNA from 1 species